rnacentral:tRNA from 1 species
GAGGGUAUAGCUCAAGCAGUAGACUGCAUGCUUAGCACGCAUGAGGUCCUGGGUUCAACCCCCAGUACCUCCU